CAGAUGUGAAAGCCCGGGGCUCAACCUCGGAACCGCAUUUGAAACUGGCAGGCUAGAGUCUUGUAGAGGGGGGUAGAAUUUCAGGUGUAGCGGUGAAAUGCGUAGAGAUCUGAAGGAAUACCAGUGGCGAAGGCGGCCCCCUGGACAAAGACUGACGCUCAGAUGCGAAAGCGUGGGUAGCAAACAGGAUUAGAUAACCUGGUAGUCCACGCCGUAAACGCUGUCUACUUGGAGGUUGAGGUUUAAGACUUUGGCUUUCGGCGCUAACGCAUUAAGUAGACCGCCUGGGGAGUACGGCCGCAAGGUUAAAACUCAAAUGAAUUGACGGGGGCCCGCACAAGCGGUGGAGCAUGUGGUUUAAUUCGAUGCAACGCGAAGAACCUUACCUACUCUUGACAUCCAGAGAACUUUCCAGAGAUGGAUUGGUGCCUUCGGGAACUCUGGGACAGGUGCUGCAUGGCUGUCGUCAGCUCGUGUUGUGAAAUGUUGGGUUAAGUCCCGCAACGAGCGCAACCCUUAUCCUUGUUUGCCAGCACGUAAAGGUGGGAACUCCAGGGAGACUGCCGGUGAUAAACCGGAGGAAGGUGGGGACGACGUCAAGUCAUCAUGGCCCUUACGAGUAGGGCUACACACGUGCUACAAUGGCAGAUACAGAGGGCAGCGAAGCUGCGAAGUGGAGCGAAUCCCUUAAAGUCUGUCGUAGUCCGGAUUGGAGUCUGCA
rnacentral:rRNA from 1 species